rnacentral:rRNA from 1 species
UACGGGGGGGGCAAGCGUUGUUCGGAAUUACUGGGCGUAAAGGGCUCGUAGGUGGCCAACUAAGUCAGACGUGAAAUCCCUCGGCUUAACCGGGGAACUGCGUCUGAUACUGGAUGGCUUGAGUUUGGGAGAGGGAUGCGGAAUUCCACGUGUAGCGGUGAAAUGCGUAGAGAUGUGGAGGAACACCGAUGGCGAAGGCAAUCCCCUGGGCCUGCACUGACGCGCAUGCACGAAAGCUAGGGUAGCGAACGGG